GAUUAACGCUAGCGGCAGGCCUAAUACAUGCAAGUCGAGGGGCAGCAGGGUGUAGCAAUACAUCGCUGGCGACCGGCGCACGGGUGCGUAACACGUAUGCAACCUACCUUUAACUGGGGAAUAGCCCUCCGAAAGGAGGAUUAACACCGCAUAACAUCACGAGACGGCAUCGCCUUGUGAUCAAACCUCCGGGGGUUAAAGAUGGGCAUGCGUCCGAUUAGCUAGUUGGCGGGGUAACGGCCCACCAAGGCGACGAUCGGUAGGGGGUCUGAGAGGAUGAUCCCCCACACUGGUACUGAGACACGGACCAGACUCCUACGGGAGGCAGCAGUGGGGAAUUUUGGACAAUGGGGGCAACCCUGACCGAGCAAUGCCGCGUGAACGAUGAAGGUCUUCGGAUUGUAAAGUUCUGUGAUUGGGGAAGAAUGGUAUUCUUAGGGAAUGAGGAGUACAUGACGGUACCCGAUUAGAAAGCCCCGGCUAACUAUGUGCCAGCAGCCGCGGUAAUUCA
rnacentral:rRNA from 1 species